AGCUUUUACGGAUUACACAACAUUUGCAGAUGUUAUAUCAGGACCGCCAAAACUGGAUGAUUUAUCUGAAGAUUUGCAAGACCUAAUGAGAAAAUUAUUUAGCAUGGACCCAGCGGCCCGACCAAGUAUAAAAAAAGUUGCAAAGCACUCCUGGUUGCGAGUAAAGCGUUCAUUUACUGAACGACUGUCAUCCUUUUUCCGU